CCUACGGGUGGCUGCAGUGGGGAAUAUUGGACAAUGGGGGGAACCCUGAUCCAGCCAUGCCGCGUGUGUGAAGAAGGCCCUCGGGUUGUAAAGCACUUUCAGUGAGGAAGAACGCCUGGUGGUUAAUACCCAUCAGGAAAGACAUCACUCACAGAAGAAGCACCGGCUAACUCCGUGCAGCAGCCGCGGUAAUACGGAGGGUGCGAGCGUUAAUCGGAAUUACUGGGCGUAAAGCGCGCGUAGGUGGCUUGAUAAGCCGGUUGUGAAAGCCCCGGGCUCAACCUGGGAACGGCAUCCGGAACUGUCAAGCUAGAGUGCAGGAGAGGAAGGUAGAAUUCCCGGUGUAGCGGUGAAAUGCGUAGAGAUCGGGAGGAAUACCAGUGGCGAAGGCGGCCUUCUGGACUGACACUGACACUGAGGUGCGAAAGCGUGGGUAGCAAACAGGAUUAGAUACCCUAGUAGUC
rnacentral:rRNA from 1 species